rnacentral:rRNA from 1 species
UACGGAGGGGGCAAGCGUUAUUCGGAAUUAUUGGGCGUAAAGGGCGCGUAGGCGGCUAGAUGUGUCAAAGGUGAAAUCCCUCGGCUCAACUGAGGAACUGCCUUUGAAACUGUCUGGCUUGAGGCCGGGAGAGGGUAGCGGAAUUCCCAGUGUAGCGGUGAAAUGCGUAGAUAUUGGGAGGAACACCGGUGGCGAAGGCGGCGAUCUGGGAAGAUACUGACGCUGAGGUGCGAAAGCGUGGGGAGCAAACAGG